CAAAAUAAUAGUGGCACUACAACAGAAUUAGGUUAUAGGGACACAUGUUUGGAACACUUUUGAGCAAGUGUUCCAUUUAUGCUAAAACUUAAAAACACAUCUACUAAUGCCUAAAUAUAAAGCCCAAUCCAACCAAAAAUAAAAGAUUACUCUACUCAACCCACCACACCCAGUCCAUUUGGCCCGAUUACAAACAGAAAAGAAAAAAAAAAGAAAAAUCAAUUACCAUCUUUUCUUCUCUCUACACUCAAUCCACUGAAAUUCUAGACGAAGAGCCUUUAUUGUCAUCCUCCUCCGCCAUCGCAGCCAACGAGAUAGAGUUUCGGCGGUUGCUAAAUGCUUAAAUAAGUGUUGGUAAAUUAGCAGCACUCUUUUAGGUUAUAACGACACUCUUUAACUGUCACUAUAUACCUAGCGACCCCACAUAUAGCAACACUUUUUAAAAGUGUCGGUAAUUUUAGCUAGCAGCACUUUUUUGACAUGUACCUACAUUUAAAAGUGUCGCUAUAGACCGUUUUUGUUGUAGUGUGGGACAAAAAGCACGCUAACAAACUAUUUCGU
rnacentral:lncRNA from 1 species